rnacentral:rRNA from 1 species
UACGGAGGAUCCAAGCGUUAUCCGGAUUCAUUGGGGUUAAAGGGUGCGUAGGCGGGAUAGUAAGUCAGUGGUGAAAUCCUGCAGCUUAACUGCAGAACUGCCAUUGAUACUGCUAACCUAGAGUACAGCUGAUGUGGGCGGAAUGUGUCGUGUAGCGGUGAAAUGCUUAGAUAUGACACAGAACACCGAUUGCGAAGGCAGCUCACAAAACUGUAACUGACGCUGAGGCACGAAAGUGUGGGGAUCGAACAGG